rnacentral:lncRNA from 1 species
CAGAAAAGUAACAUGAACUGCUUUAUAAAACACUUCUAAUAUUGCUAAGAAGCAGGCCCAUUACAACAAAAAACAAAAAAAGAACAUGCCAACAUUAUGGUCCAUUCUAAUUGUAGAAUAAUAAAUACAUGUAUGAAAAUUUAUUUGUAUGUUUGUUAGCACUAAGCUCUAAAACUUGUGUAUUUGAAUAUAUGCCAAAAAUUUAGAUUCCACUUCAUUGCUAAAAUCAUUGCUUCUUUAGGUAUAGUGUCCAAUCAGUGUCAGCAGAUACACAAUCUUGGCAUGUUCUUUUGAAAGCAUGUAAAGAACUUAUUUCUGGAGAUGUGCUAACAGUGGCAGUCUGAAAUGAAACUUUCUGUAAGUAAGCAAAAAAAAAAAAAAAAAGUAACAACUUUGAUCCCUCAACUGUCCUUGUAGUUAAAUAUAAAAAACAAACUAUAAGUUAAAAUAACAUUCAGAUUGUAUAGCACAGGCCAAUGCAGUUUUUUUUAAACAAUAUUUACAAUAUUACCCAGAGACUAAAGUGGGAAUUAAAGAGGUGUAAAAACCAUAAAAAAUGGCACCAAUUUUGUAGCAAAAUAUCUGUACAUUUAAAAACAGAUUAUCAUAUAACUACACAUCAUCCAAGGAAAAUGAGACCUUCACCAGGGAUUCACUUAAGCACAACAUAAAAGGAAUUCAGUGGUUAAAUACUAUACAAUAAAUUUUACAAUUAACAUAUUGAUGAAAUGCUACCAAGAAAGGUAAGCCAGAAGCAGAAUUUAUCUUCCAAAAUGACAAUUUUAUCUUCAGUCCAUGUUUUGACUUGUGACUAAAUCAAGUGCCCUGCCCAAGUGCCCACGUAAAGCACAAUGGCUUGCCCUGUACCUGCAGAGUGAGCCUGGCUUGCCUCCUAUUCUCAUUUUGCAUGUCUUUUCCUUGCUUCAUCCAAAUACACGUGAUCCUAACAAAUCAAUUCCCAAUUUCCCCUAAAAUAUCCGGGGAAGGGAGCAUCAAACUGGGUUUUGGAAUUUCUCUACAUCCAGUGGUCAAAUGCACCCCUCACUGUCAUUAAAAAAAACAACCAACCAACCCUCAAAUGCGAUUGUCAAAGGAGAACAAGCUCAGCACUCUGCAGGUGGAAGAUGCAAUCUGAAUGCUCGUCAAGCGGCCGAGCAAAC